UACGUAGGUGGCAAGCGUUGUCCGGAUUUACUGGGCGUAAAGGGCGCGUAGGCGGCGAUUCAAGUCAGGCGUGAAAGGCCUGGGCUCAACCCGGGAACUGCGUUUGAUACUGGAUUGCUGGAGUCCGGGAGAGGAUGGCGGAAUUCCCAGUGUAGAGGUGAAAUUCGUAGAUAUUCGGAAGAACACCAGUGGCGAAGGCGGCUCACUGGACGACUAUUGACGCUGAGGCACGAAAGCGUGGGGAGCAAACAGG
rnacentral:rRNA from 1 species